UCGGGAAUUUUGGGCAAUGGGCGAAAGCCUGACCCAGCAACGCCGCGUGAGGGAUGAAGUAUUUCGGUAUGUAAACCUCGAAAGAAUGGGAAGAAUAAAUGACGGUACCAUUUAUAAGCUCCGGCUAACUACGUGCCAGCAGCCGCGGUAAUACGUAGGGAGCAAGCGUUGUUCGGAUUUACUGGGCGUAAAGGGCGCGUAGGCGGCGCGGUAAGUCACUUGUGAAAUCUCUGAGCUUAACUCAGAACGGCCAAGUGAUACUGCUGUGAUAGAGGGCGGAAGAGGCAACCGGAAUUCUUGGUGUAGUGGUGAAAUACGUAGAUAUCUGGAAGAACGCCAGUUGGGAAGGCGGUCUCUUGGUCCGACACUGACGCUGAGGCGCGAAAGCGU
rnacentral:rRNA from 1 species